CGCGAGGAGGCUCAGACGGGCCGACCCGUCCUGGGCUACGGAUCAGACGCCAGCUAAUCCACCGGAAGAUUCGUUCCCCUCUGCCCCCCUCUCAUUAUCUUCCUCAACCUCGUCGGCAGGAAGCAGAUCGGGAUUCGGGAACGAUGACUACCUCAUCUUCUUCAUCCCAGCCGGACGAGGUACUCCCGCUGAUUCCUUGCCCAACCUUCAUCUCCCAAGGCGGACCACGCUUCUACAAGUGCGUCAGAAAAGAUGCUGGGUUGUGUCAGUUUUUGAGAUCCACGGACACCUACCUGCCGGAGCUCACUCGCCACGACUUGUCCCAGCCCCAGCCGUACGUGCUGCACCAGCCUCUAGCCGUGCACCCAUCCGCUUCCCUUCACCAGAGAUACAGGCGCGAUCACAAUUUCGCGGACGGCGGCAGCCGAGCAGAGAUCCAACCAGCUCAUGGACGUCCCCAGCCACAGCUUCAGCCGUAUCUUAAAAAUAUCAGUGUGUAGUCAUUGUUAUCUCUGAACGUUCUCUCACUCCACAAGCAACUUCAUUGUUCACGAGGAGCCAAGAUUCGUUCGGAUUACAGGCUAUACAAUUAGGGACCAGCUUGUCGGCAACAGAAUAAUUGGUCAUGAACUGAUGCCCUUGGUUUUUCCGCCGUUUUGCUCAACUUGAUUAUGAAGCAGAAACCAAAAACCCUUAUUUAAGCUGGAGGCACCCCAUCGAACCUGAAUUCUCAGUAAGCCCGUCACUCUCUAGUUUGAAGCUCCCAACUAAGCUUAUCAUUCCUGUUGAUUUCAUUUGACGCACUUUAUCUGUGCUAACUUAUGACUUUCAUGUCAAGCAGACUCUGGUUCUCAUUCUUGCACAAGGUGUCAAUACAGAAGCAGUUAUCUGCUGACUCGCUGAAGUACGACAUAACAUCAUCUCAAAUGGUACACAAGGAUG